rnacentral:lncRNA from 1 species
UUUGGAGAGUGAGAGACACUUGGGAGGAGGCUCUGGGUAUAAAUGAAGCUGAGGGGAGGGGAAAUGGAAUGCAAUAAAGUAAGACUGAGAGUCAUGAGUGCGAUUGCCUUUGAUGGUCCUCAAGUAGUGCAAAGAGGCUGGGCGUGGUGGCUCACGCCUGUAACCCAGCACUUUGGGAGGCCUAGGCAGGCAGAUCACCUGCGGUCAGGAGUUCAAGACCAGCCUGGCCAACAUGAUGAAACACCAUCUCUAUGAAAAAUACAAAAAUUAGCUGGGUGUGGUGGCAGGCACCAGCUACUUGGGAGGCUGAGGCGGUAGAAUUGCUUGAACUCAGGGGCAGAGGUUGCAGUGAGCUGAGAUUGCACCGCUGCACUCCAGCCUGGGCAACAGAGUGAGACUCUGUUUCAAAAAAAAAGAAAAGAAAAGAAAAGAAAAGAAAAAAAGUGCAAAGAAAGAGUUUUGGUUGCAUUGGUUGCAUGAUAAUCAUUGUUGGUUGUUGAAGUAUGUUUAAGUAAAUUACUUUACCUCCUUAAUUCCCCCACCAAGUCUUAUCAUAGGAAGGUAAUUCUAUUGACAGAAGAGAGAAGGAAAGCUCAUCUGACUUUAAUACAUUACUCAAAGUGGAGCCAAGAUUUGAUAUAAGAUUUUCAGAUUUCAGAUUGAAUGCAUCUGCUUCAAUCACUAAAGGACAGAAAAAGACCUUAACACAACUAACAGGAAUAUAACCUGGAGAAGUAUGAGUGCUGAGAACACAGGUGUGGGGCACAGGAAAAGGAAUAUUUUGAGUCUCCUUCCUGGAAAGAAAGUACUUAGGGGAAGUUUCUAAUUUCCAGAGGCUUAGAAGAGCACAGAUAAGGGAAUGGUGACUCUGCCAGGAGAAACUGACUAUUGCCUGACCACUGCUCAAACUAGGGCGAGCUCAGCAAAGACGCAGGGCCCACAGAGAGUCCUUGGUGAGGCACCACUCUCAGGACUUGCAAAUGUAAAGGGUGAUUCAGGUGAUGGACAGGAGGAAAAAGAGAAAACAGAAACUGAAGAAGAUGGAGAGGUUCUUGAAGAGGAAUGCUUCAAGUUACAGUGGCUUGACUUCUUGAUUCUGUCUUAAUUCCAAACAAGGUCCUGACCGCAAGUGAUCGUUGGGAGGCCAAGGCCUCAUAAAGUGCUGAGAUUACAGGUGUAAGCCAUGGCGUUCAUCAUGCCACUGCACUCCAGCCUGGGUUACUGGGUAAUAUUUUUUUAAAAUAUUUUAGACUCUGUCUAAAAAAAAAAAAAAAAAAAAAAGAAAGAAAGAAAGAAAGCUUCCUCUUGUAUGGGGAAAGUCACUACUGUAUGUUAAGACUAGGCAUUGAUUUUCAAAUGAUUCACAUUUUCCAUGUAAGAAGAAAAAAGAGCUACGUGUUAUCCUCACAAAUUUGCUGUUAAGUCCAUAUAAUUUAACUACCAGUUGCUUGAUUUUUAGGGUUCUCCAGAGAAAUAGAACCAAUAGGAUAUUGAAACUGAGGACUUUUGCUCAUUUUGC